CAAUCUAGUCAAAACAACAGACAAGUUGUAAAAAUCAAAUAAGAACCUGUUUCUAACCACAGUAAGGUUAGAAAAGUUUUGUUGAUUUAAAAAAAUCUCCUAAGCUUGUGAAUGACUUGAAACGAAUUUUAUUCUGGACGCGGGUUCGACUCCCGCCAUCUCCAUCC
rnacentral:tmRNA from 1 species